CAAUAGCGUAUAUUAAAGUUGUUGCAGUUAAAAAGCUCGUAGUUGGAUUUCUGGCAGGAGGAGCCGGUCACACACUCUGUGCGUGAACUCGUGCUGUCUCUGGCCAUCCUCGGGGAGAUCCUGUUUGGCAUUAAGUUGUCGGGCAGGGGAUACCCGUCGUUUACUGUGAAAAAUUAGAGUGUUUAAAGCAGGCUUAUGCCGUUGAAUAUAUUAGCAUGGAAUAAUAAGAUAGGACUUCGGAACUAUUUUGUUGGUUUAUGGUACCGAAGUAAUGAUUAAUAGGGACAGUUGGGGCCGUUUAUAUUUCGUUGUCAGAGGUGAAAUUCUUGGAUUUACGAAAGAUAAACUUCUGCGAAAGCAUUCGGCAAGGAUGUUUUCAUUGAUCAAGAACGAAAGUUAGGGGAUCGAAGACGAUUAGAUACCAU
rnacentral:rRNA from 1 species